GGUCUCGUAGUGUAGCGGUUAACACGCCUGCCUGUCACGCAGGAAAUCGCGGGUUCGAUUCCCGUCGAGACCGCCA
rnacentral:tRNA from 2 species